rnacentral:rRNA from 1 species
UUACCGGAAGGCGCAGUGGAGUGCUGUGAAGAGAGAAUGCCGGAAUGAGUAGCGAGAGUAAGGUGAGAAUCCUUACGGCCGAAUAUCCGAGGUUUCCAGAGUAAAGCUGAUCUGCUCUGGGUAAGUCGGGACCUAAGGCGAGGUCGAAAGACGUAGCUGAUGGACAACAGGUUGAAAUUCCUGUACUACGGUAUGAAAGAAAUGUGGGGACGCAUGUGGAGAGCAUGAGCCGGGAAAGGAAAGACCGGUGCAAGCGGGACAGUAGCCAUGCAGGCAAAUCCGUGUGGCCAUACGAAGACGUGACGCGGACCGAAAUAAAGUAGGGAAGCAUGUGAGCCAUGUGCCAAGAAAAGCCGCUAUAGAUCAUACCGUACCCGUACCGUAAACCGACACAGGUAGAUGAGGAGAGAAUCCUAAGGCCGACGGGAGAAGCAUUGUUAAGGAACUCGGCAAAAUGACCCCGUAACUUCGGGAGAAGGGGUGCCCACGCGAGUGGGCCGCAGAGAAUAGGCUCAAGCAACUGUUUAGCAAAAACACAGGUCUAUGCGAAACCGAAAGGUGAGGUAUAUGGGCUGACGCCUGCCCGGUGCUGGAAGGUUAAGAGGAGGAGUCAGGCAACGAAGCUCCGAAUUUAAGCCCCAGUAAACGGCGGCCGUAACUAUAACGGUCCUAAGGUAGCGAAAUUCCUUGUCGGGUAAGUUCCGACCCGCACGAAAGGCGUAAUGAUUUGAGCACUGUCUCGACAAUGCACCCGGUGAAAUUGAAGUACCAGUGAAGAUGCUGGUUACCUGCGCCAGGACGGAAAGACCCCAUGGAGCUUUACUCCAGUUUGAUACUGGGAUUCGAUACUGAAUGUACAGGAUAGGUGGGAGGCUGAGAAGCGUGGACGCCAGUCUGCGGUGAGCCGCUGUUGGGAUACCACCCUUUGAGUAUUGGAUUUCUAACCUGCGCCCGUGACCCGGGCGGGGGACAAUGUCUGACGGGGAGUUUGACUGGGGCGGUCGCCUCCGAAAGGGUAUCGGAGGCGCCCAAAGGUUCCCUCAGAAUGGUUGGAAACCAUUCGCAGAGUGCAAAGGCAGAAGGGAGCUUGACUGUGACACCGACGGGUGGAGCAGGUACGAAAGUAGGACUUAGUGAUCCGGUGGUAUGAAAGUGGGAUUGCCAUCGCUCAACGGAUAAAAGCUACCCUGGGAUAGCAGGCUUAUCACUCCCAAGAGUUCACAUCGACGGAGUGGUUUGGCACCUCGAUGUCGGCCCAUCGCAUCC